GACUUAAAAUCCGUUGGCUUAACAGACCGUGAGGGUUCAAGUCCCUCCACCCCCA
rnacentral:tRNA from 1 species